UACGUAGGGUGCGAGCGUUAAUCGGAAUUACUGGGCGUAAAGGGUGCGCAGGCGGUUAUAUAAGACAGAUGUGAAAUCCCCGGGCUCAACCUGGGAACUGCGUUUGUGACUGUAUGACUAGAGUACGGUAGAGAGGGGUGGAAUUCCUGGUGUAGCAGUGAAAUGCGUAGAUAUCAGGAGGAACAUCGAUGGCGAAGGCAGCCCCUUGGACCUGUACUGACGCUCAUGCACGAAAGCGUGGGGAGCAAACA
rnacentral:rRNA from 1 species